rnacentral:rRNA from 1 species
UACGGGGGGGGCAAGCGUUGUUCGGAUUUACUGGGCGUAAAGGGAGCGUAGGCUGUCGGUCAAGUCCGGUGUGAAACCCUUACCGCUUACCGGAAGGACGGCACUGGAUACUGGCCGGCUAGAGUGGGGUAGAGGCAAGCGGAAUUCCUGGUGUAGCGGUGGAAUGUGCAGAUAUCAGGAAGAACAUCUGUGGCGAAGGCGGCUUGCUGGGCCCUUACUGACGCUGAGGCUCGAAAGCGUGGGGAGCAAACGGG